CCAGCGGCCCCAAGACCCGCGGCGCGCGCUUCCGGCCCCGGCGCGCCAGGCCGAAGUUCCCGUGGCGCCGCGUGGGCCGGUGCAUGGCGCUGGGCCCGGGCGGCUGCCGGGACGUCGCCGCUUCCCAGGGCGGCGCCGGCGCGAGACCGCGGGGACGCGAAGCAGCGAGUUAGAGAUGUUUAUGAUUACUUCCGAGCUGUCCUGCAGCGUGAUGAAAGAAGUGAACGAGCUUUUAAGCUAACCCGGGAUGCUAUUGAGUUAAAUGCAGCCAAUUAUACAGUGUGGCAUUUCCGGAGAGUUCUUUUGAAGUCACUUCAGAAGGAUCUACAUGAGGAAAUGAACUACAUCACUGCAAUAAUUGAGGAGCAGCCCAAAAACUAUCAAGUUUGGCAUCAUAGGCGAGUAUUAGUGGAAUGGCUAAGAGAUCCAUCUCAGGAGCUUGAAUUUAUUGCUGAUAUUCUUAAUCAGGAUGCAAAGAAUUAUCAUGCCUGGCAGCAUCGACAAUGGGUUAUUCAG
rnacentral:lncRNA from 1 species